ensembl:lncRNA
CUGGGGUGAAACUCGGAGCAUUCUCAUUCAGUCCCCGGAGGAGGACUUCCUGCUCCUUGGUCAGGUUCCCUGUGGAGGCCCCACCAGGCAGGGAGCAUCCCUGGAAGCCCAGCCCUCUGCACGUGUGCUGUGACUGUCUGGUCACUGUCGCCUCUUUGAUGGAGACCUGAGAUAAACCUGUCCUUGCUCAUCUCAGUGCUAGCACAUAGUAGCUGCUCAAUAAGGGUUUGUCAGGCUACCACCAUGCCUUCCUCCAGGCCAAGACUGACAGUCUUCCUUGACUGAAUCCCUUGUAGAGAUCUGGAUCUGGAAACCGAAUUGCCUGGAGGGAGGCAGGCCUCAGGACAUCAUUUACUGGCAUGGACAGUAGCAGAGACUGCACAGUUCUGCAGCCAGCAGCUUCUGAUGCAGUGGCUGCCUGCCGAUGGGAGCAGCGUUCCUGGUCAUAGCAGACGUGAUGAAUUUGGCGGCUGGGAGCUGUUCCUGGAAAUUCAGCAGAGUCGGCUCCUCUAGCCCUUGCAGUGAUUUUGCAAAGCCACUAGGGACCUGGUAAUAAAU